rnacentral:lncRNA from 1 species
CUCAGGUCCCAGAGGCACUACCCAUCUCCAACUCAUCCAAUCAAUAGCCAGUUAGAGCUGAGAAGAAACAGCUCCAAAGCAUUGUGAGGGAACAGCCUUGGGCUAUGGAGAAGUCUUAAGAGAAUUUUCAGCUAUGUAUAGAACCAUUGUCUCCUUACCUGAGCCAGGUGAUACCUUCUGAAGGAGGUGAGCAAGCAGCUAGGGUCAUCUCACAAGCCUGAUAGGAACUGUCAUUAAUGGACCUCAGCAACUUUCCUCACUCCUUCAAGAAUCUGUACCUGUUACUUUUCAAUCAACUACUUGGAGAAAAAAAAAUGAAAGAGAUUUAGCUGAGAAUUGGAUGAGUUCAGCAAUGGAAGCAUGAACAGAUUUUUACUGGAGAAAUUGGUAAGAUCAUCCUUGAUAGGUACUGGAG